rnacentral:rRNA from 1 species
GUUAGGAAUAUUGGACAAUGGGCGAAAGCCUGAUCCAGCCAUGCCGCGUGAACGAUGAAGGCCUUCGGGUUGUAAAGUUCUUUAGCCGAUGAUUAUAAUGACUGUAGUCGGAAAAUAAGCCCCGGCUAACUUCGUGCCAGCAGCCGCGGUAAUACGAAGGGGGCGAGCGUUAUUCGGAAUCACUGGGCGUAAAGCGUGCGUAGGCGGUUUUGUAAGUUAGGAGUGAAAGCCCAGGGCUCAACCUUGGAAUUGCUCUUAAAACUGCAAGGCUCGAAUCUCGGAGAGGAUAGCGGAAUUUCCAGUGUAGCAGUGAAAUGCGUAGAUAUUGACAGGAACACCAGUGGCGUAAGCGGCUAUCUGGACCGAUAUUGACGCUGAGGCACGAAAGCGUGGGGAUCAAACAGGAUUAGAUACCCUAGUAGUCC